rnacentral:rRNA from 1 species
AUUGAACGCUGGCGGCAUGCCUUACACAUGCAGGUCGAACGGUAACAGGUCUUCGGAUGCUGACGAGUGGCGAACGGGUGAGUAAUACAUCGGAACGUGCCUAGUAGUGGGGGAUAACUACUCGAAAGAGUGGCUAAUACCGCAUGAGAUCUACGGAUGAAAGCAGGGGAUCGCAAGACCUUGUGCUACUAGAGCGGCCGAUGGCAGAUUAGGUAGUUGGUGGGAUGAAAGCUUACCAAGCCGACGAUCUGUAGCUGGUCUGAGAGGACGAUCAGCCACACUGGGACUGAGACACGGCCCAGACUCCUACGGGAGGCAGCAGUGGGGAAUUUUGGACAAUGGGCGCAAGCCUGAUCCAGCAAUGCCGCGUGCAGGAUGAAGGCCUUCGGGUUGUAAACUGCUUUUGUACGGAACGAAAAGCCCCGGGUUAAUACCCUGGGGUCAUGACGGUACCGUAAGAAUAAGCACCGGCUAACUACGUGCCAGCAGCCGCCGUAA